rnacentral:sRNA from 1 species
UUACAGUUAGGUGAGGCUCCUACAGGGAUAAAUGCUGCUGCCCCGAAACAUGGAGACAUGCCAAUGGGGUCAACAGGUAUGAUCGGAUUAAGGUUUUACUUAACGUAGCUGGCAAAAAGCCAAAGCCCUGUAGUGCUAAAACUCAACGAUAU